rnacentral:rRNA from 1 species
AACGAACGCUGGCGGCAUGCCUAACACAUGCAAGUCGAACGAGACCUUCGGGUCUAGUGGCGCACGGGUGCGUAACACGUGGGAAUCUGCCCUUUGCUUCGGAAUAACAGUUAGAAAUGACUGCUAAUACCGGAUGAUGUCGAAAGACCAAAGAUUUAUCGGCAAAGGAUGAGCCCGCGUAGGAUUGGGUAGUUGGUGGGGUAAAGGCCUACCAAGCCGACGAUCCUUAGCUGGUCUGAGAGGAUGAUCAGCCACACUGGGACUGAGACACGGCCCAGACUCCUACGGGAGGCAGCAGUGGGGAAUAUUGGACAAUGGGCGAAAGCCUGAUCCAGCAAUGCCGCGUGAGUGAUGAAGGCCUUAGGGUUGUAAAGCUCUUUUACCAGGGAUGAUAAUGACAGUACCUGGAGAAUAAGCUCCGGCUAACUCCGUGCCAGCAGCCGCCGUAACAC